GAAUUUAAGCAUAUAACUAAGCGGAGGAAAAGAAACUAACAAGGAUUCCCCUAGUAGCGGCGAGCGAAGCGGGAAGAGCCCGGGAUGAAAAUCUCUUCGGAGAGUUGUAGUCUGAGCUCCCUUGGGCGGUCAGUGUGGGUAAAUCGUCUGGGAUGACGUGCCAGGGAGGGUGAGAGCCCCGUCCAGCCCACACAGGACCCGCCCGCACGAGGGCGCUUCAACCGAGUCGGGUAGCUUGGGAAUGCUGCUCCAAAUGGUGGUAAAUCUCAUCAAAGGCUAAAUAACGGUGGGAGACCGAUAGCGAACAAGUACCGUGAGGGAAAGAUGGAAAGAACUUUGAAAAGAGAGUGAAAAGCGCUUGAAACCGUCACGGGGGAAGCGGAUUGCGUGAGUGAUGGCGUGCACUGUUCAGCUCAAAGUGUGGAGUGUAUUCUGUGCACGCCGGGCGUGUGUGGCUGGGGCGCGUGCGAUGUUGGCACGCGCACCUGGUGAGGGCUCCCCGCUUGUCGGGUGAGGACACACGCGAAAUGACGCAAUACGACCCGUCUUGAAACACGGACCAAGGAGUCUAGCACGGCUGCGAGUCGAAGGGUGUGAAAACCCAGAGGGCGCAGUGAAAGCGAAAGAAAGCAAAUUGGGGAGGCGUUGCGGUUUUACCAAAGUGUCCUACCUCGAGCACCUGUGCUGGGACCCGAAAGAUGGUGAACUAUGCCGGAGUAGGGCAAAGCCAGAGGAAACUCUGGUGGAGGCUCGUAGCGAUGCUGACGUGCAAAUCGCUCGUCGAACUUGGGUAUAGGGGCGAAAGACUAAUCGAACCAUCUAGUAGCUGGUUCCCUCCGAAGUUUCUCUCAGGAUAGCGGGCCGACGAUCAAGUUGUUUUGUGCGGUAAAGCGAAUGAUUAGUGCAUUUGGGGUCCGAAGGACGUCAGGCGAUUCUCAAACUUUAAAUGCGCAAGGGGGCGGCUGCUUAAUUGAGCCUGCUCUUUGAAAAACGUCGGCCCUGUGGGCCACUUUUGGUAAGCAGAACUGGCGAUAAGGGAUGAACCUUAAGCGCGGUUAAGGCGCCGUAUUGCCCGCUUAUAGACCCCACAAAAGGUGUUGAUUCAUCCAGACAGCAGGACGGUGGCCAUGGAAGUCGGA
rnacentral:rRNA from 1 species